AUUGAACGCUGGCGGAAUGCUUUACACAUGCAAGUCGAACGGCAGCACGGGUGCUUGCACCUGGUGGCGAGUGGCGAACGGGUGAGUAAUACAUCGGAACGUACCCAGUCGUGGGGGAUAACUUAGCGAAAGUUACGCUAAUACCGCAUACGUCCUGACGCAGAAAGCGGGGGACUGUAAGGCCACGCUCGAUUGGAGCGGCCGAUGGCGGAUUAGUGAGUUGGUGGGGUAAAGGCCUACCAAGGCGACGAUCCGUAGCGGGUCUGAGAGGACGGCCCGCCACACUGGAACUGAGACACGGUCCAGACUCCUACGGGAGGCAGCAGUGGGGAAUUUUGGACAAUGGGCGAAAGCCUGAUCCAGCCAUUCCGCGUGAGUGAAGAAGGCCUUCGGGUUGUAAAGCUCUUUCGGCAGGGAAGAAACGGCUUGGGAUAAUACCCCGGGCUAAUGACGGUACCUGAAGAAGAAGCACCGGCUAACUACGUGCCAGCCGCCGCGGUAA
rnacentral:rRNA from 1 species